rnacentral:rRNA from 1 species
CAGAGGUGCCAAGCGUUAGGCGGAAUCACUGGGCUUAAAGCGUGUGUAGGCGGAGCGUUAAGUGCCUUGUGAAAUCCCACGGCUCAACCGUGGAACUGCUGGGCAUACUGGCGCUCUUGAGCCGGCCAGGGGUCGUCGGAACAAACGGUGGAGCGGUGAAAUGCGUAGAUAUCGUUUGGAACGCCAAAGGCGAAAGCAGACGACUGGGGCCGCGCUGACGCUGAGACACGAAAGCCAGGGGAGCAAACGGGAUUAGAUACCCCGGUAGUCCUGGCCCUAAACGAUGUCCACUGGAUCGCGGCGCCUCUGACGGCGUCGCGGUCGGAGCAAAAGUGUUAAGUGGACCGCCUGGGAAGUACGGUCGCAAGGCUA